CUCGAAGGUCACUAGGUACGUCGGACAUCGUACUGAUAGGUGUAAUGGCACAAGGUGGCUUGAACUGCGAGACUGACAGUCGAGCAGGUGCGAAAGCAGGACAUAGUGAUCCGGUGGUUCUGAAUGGAAGGGGCCAUCGCUCAACGGAUAAAAGGUACUCCGGGAUAACAGGCUGAUUCCGCCCAAGAGUUCACAUCGACGGCGGAGUUUGGCACCUCGAUGUCGGCUCAUCACAUCCUGGGGCUGUAGCCGGUCCCAAGGGUAUGGCUGUUCGCCAUUUAAAGUGGUACGUGAGCUGGGUUCAGAACGUCGUGAGACAGUUUGGUCCCUAUCUGCAGUGGGCGUUGGAAGUUUGAGGGGGGCUGCUCCUAGUACGAGAGGACCGGAGUGGACGCAUCUCUGGUGUACCGGUUAUCACGCCAGUGGUAUCGCCGGGUAGCUAAAUGCGGAAGAGAUAAGCGCUGAAAGCAUCUAAGCGCGAAACUCGCCUCAAGAUGAGACUUCCCUGGUAACUUGA
rnacentral:ncRNA from 2 species